CCCUCAUACACUCACAGACACAGGUUUAUUUACUAAGCUAGUUUAUUUUAUGUGUUUUAUGUGUUUCGUUUCUUUUCUACAUUUAAUCAAGUUAAGAUUUACUCUCUGAUCUCCCUCUGAAGUCCCUAAGGCAGAACUUAAAGGCUGCCUAGACAUGAGUCUUUCUCCAUUUCACGGAAUCUCUAGGCUACAGCUCAAUCUAUGUU